GCCUUGGUAGCUUAAAUUAAAGCACUGGUCUUGUAAGCCAGAGACUGUGACCUAAACCCCACCCAAGGCU
rnacentral:tRNA from 1 species